AUUGAACGCUGGCGGCAUGCCUUACACAUGCAAGUCGAACGGUAACAGGUUAAGCUGACGAGUGGCGAACGGGUGAGUAAUGUAUCGGAACGUGCCCAGUCGUAGGGGAUAACUACUCGAAAGAGUGGCUAAUACCGCAUACGACCUGAGGGUGAAAGCGGGGGAACGUAAGGCCUCGCGCGAUUGGAGCGGCCGAUAUCAGAUUAGCUAGUUGGUGGGGUAAAAGCCCACCAAGGCGACGAUCUGUAGCUGGUCUGAGAGGACGACCAGCCACACUGGGACUGAGACACGGCCCAGACUCCUACGGGAGGCAGCAGUGGGGAAUUUUGGACAAUGGACGCAAGUCUGAUCCAGCCAUGCCGCGUGCGGGAAGAAGGCCUUCGGGUUGUAAACCGCUUUUGUCAGGGAAGAAACGAGUUUCUCUAAUACAGAGACUUAAUGACGGUACCUGAAGAAUAAGCACCGGCUAACUACGUGCCAGCCGCCGCCGUAAGAC
rnacentral:rRNA from 1 species